GAAGCGUUCUCCAGGAUGGCCGGCAGCCUCUUCUCCAGCGGCAGCAGCAGCAGCAGCAGCGGCAGCGUCCGCUCCGCCCUGGUGCUGGGCCGCGCGCCGCCCCGGAACUACGGCUCCCUGCUCACCUACCAGUUCCUCAAGAGCGCCCGCACGCUGGGGAUCCACCAGGCUCUUAGCCACAGUGAAUCCAUGGUGUCUUUCUCUCAUCGUACCCUAGUAAAUUACAUCAGGGAUGAAAAUCUCCAUGCACUUCAGGGCUUUCUGGAGAACAAGCGGGCUGUGGUUGAUGAUAGGGACGAGAACGGAGCUACCGCUUUACAUGUAGCAGCUGCCAAAGGAAAGCUUCAGUUUGUACGAGAGUUGAUAAGCCAUGGAGCUGAUGUCAAUGCCGAAGACAAUGAUCAAUGGUGUUCCCUUUUAUGUGCUGCAAAAGAAGGCUACUCUGAUGUAUGCAUUGAGCUUCUUGACAAUGGGGCAGACAUUGAACACAAAGACAUGGGAGGCUGGACAGCUCUCAUGUGGGCAUCGUACAAAGGCAAAGAAGAGGUUGUGGAUGUGUUGUUGGAACGUGGAGCAGAUGUUAAUGCCUGUGGCAACUUCCACAUCCCUUCCCUUCUCUGGGCUGCUGGUCGUGGACAUACUGAGAUAGCACUAAAACUGAUCCAGGCGGGUGCCAAAAUCAACUUUGGUGAUAAGUAUGGUACAACAGCUCUGGUUUGGGCAUGCCGGAAGGGAGAUGCCUCUAUUGUGAGAGUAAUUCUUAAUGCUGGUGCAAAUGUGGAUACUGCUGGCAUGUAUUCCUGGACACCAUUGCUUGUAGCUACUAUGGGAAAUCAUUUAGAGAUUGUCAAUUUAAUUUUGGAACAUAAACCCAAUGUGAAUGCUCUUGAUAAAGAUGGCCACACUGCCCUUACAAUAGCCUGUAAAGAAGGAUUCCUUGAAAUAGCACAAGCGCUUUUGAAUUAUGGUGCUUACAUCAAUAUUCAGGAUCGUAUGGGUGAUACCACUCUUAUCCAUGCUGUAAAAGGUGGUCAUAGGAGUGUUGUAGAAGCUUUGCUCAAAAAAUAUGCUGAUGUUGACAUUCCAGGAAAGGAGAAGAAGACUGCCACAUAUACUGCUGUAGAAAAAGGACACAUUCCUAUUUUGAAGCUUCUGUUAAACGCCAACCCAGACCUGGAAAUUCAGACAAAGGAUGGAGAUACUGCACUUCUUAGAGCAGUUCGUUCAAGAAAUUCUGAGGCUGUGCAACUUUUGCUUGACAAAAAGGCAAAAGUUAGUGCUGCUGACAAACGUGGAGACACAGCAUUACACAUUGCAAUGCGUGCUCGCUCGAAAGCUGUAGUUGAGGUUCUCCUUCGUAAUCCAAAGCACUCUCAAUUGCUAUAUCGCCCAAAUAGAGCGGGAGAAACACCAUAUAACAUUGAUAUGAGUCAUGAUAAAACAAUUUUAGGACAAAUUUUUGGAGCUCGGCGCCUCAACACCAACGAAGAUAAUGAAAACAUGCUCGGCUAUGAUCUGUACAGCAGUGCCUUAGCAGACAUCCUUAGUGAACCAUCUCUAUCUAUGCCUAUUACUGUAGGAUUGUAUGCAAAGUGGGGUAGUGGUAAAUCGUUCUUACUGAAUAAAUUGAGAGAGGAGAUGCAGAAUUUUGCUCGUCAAUGGGUAGAUCCUGUUUUUCAAUUUACUUGGAUACUUCUCUUGGUAGUCACUCACAUCUCAUUAAUAGUUGGUUUAGUUUUUGGUCUGAUCAGUUCAAGUUGGAUCUUGGGCCUUUCAGUAGGGACAUCUAUUUUUAUUAUUUCAUAUUCUCUUGCCAUCUUAAUUUGGUACAGUGGGAAGCGGUAUGAUUGGAGGUGGGCUUAUUUAGCUCAUCUCUACUUCACAAAGAAAUUUGACUCCUUGAGGUUGGUCCUUCAAAUGAUGUUUUGCCAUCCUCCUGGAAUCCACAGCGAUGAUGUAUUGGCUGCCCAUCCCAUCAGAUUUUAUUUUACUGAUCAGACUCGUAUGAGUUCUACUACUGGAGGAGAAAGUUCUGUUGUUCAAAUGUUAGGGUCUUUGUAUGAUGCCAUAGAGAAAGAUUUUGGAGGUUUGCCAACUCGUCUUUACCGUGCUUUCCGACCCAAAAUAAUCAAAAGUUCGUCAUCAUGGAGAUUGAGGAAGUUAUGUUGUGUUCCGUAUGUUGUAAUUUGUGAAAUAAUGUUUCUUGCCAUUGUUGUGGGCACCAUAGUUCUUGCACUAUACAUUCGAAAAGAUCAAAGAAUUGAAAAGGCAGUGGCUGAAGUCAUCCUAAUAACCAUUGGUCUAAUCGCGAUAAUGGCUAUUGUAUCCAAUUUAUAUACCUGGGGCAGAAUGCUUGGAGCAUUAGUAUUUUCUCAGAGGCGUCAACUGCAGCGCUCUAUCACCAGGGUUGAAACUCUACGCUCAGAAGGUUUUCUUCAGGCUGUGCGUCAGGAAGUUACAUUCAUGACUGAUAUGAUAAAAUGUUUGGAUGGAUUUUGCCAACAACAAAGUAGAUUGGUGGUCGUCGUUGAUGGCCUUGAUGCUUGUGAGCAAGACAAGGUUGUCUUAGUGCUUGAUGCUGUCCAUCUUCUCUUCUCUGAUGCUAACUCUCCCUACAUUGUCAUACUGGCCAUUGAUCCUCAUGUUGUUUCAAAGGUGGCAAGCGAGGAGGUCAGUGCGGUGGAACUGAGCAGCAGACGUUUAUUUACUGAGUCCAACAUAGGAGGACACGAUUAUUUACGCAACAUGGUGCAUUUACCAUUUUACCUUCAAAACUCUGGUUUGCGAAAUGUGAAGGUAGCACAAACAGCAGCAAUGCAGCAUCGAAAGUCGCAGCCAGGUUUUGAAUCCAGUGAUGAUGGUUUCUUAGGUUAUGCAUCGCACAACCAGGCAUCUCGGAGGCUAUCAACUGAAUCAGGCAUGAGUAGCACAGAACGCCUCAAAACUAUUCCUAAGAAAGGACGUAAACUGAAACUUAGUGAAAGUGUUGCCAGUAGUCUGGGCAGCAAUUUGAAUAGAAUUGGAGGUGCCCAUGACCUCACCAAAAUGCUCCUUACCGAUGACUACUUCAGUGAUGUGACUCCCCGCAGUAUGCGUCGGCUUAUGAAUGUUGUUUAUAUCACAGGCCGUUUACUGAAAGCAUUCCAAAUUGACUUUAACUGGUACCAUCUUGCAAAUUGGGUUAAUAUUACUGAGCAGUGGCCAUUCCGUACUUCUUGGAUUAUACUUUACUAUGAAAUGAUGGAUGAAAAUUUAGAUGACAACACAUCUCUAAAAACGAUUUAUGACAAAGUGCGUCCUCAAAUUCCUAUGUCAAAAGAUGUUGUUCCUCUCCUGGACUUGGACAGAGAUGAGAAAAAGUUUGAUAUCUUCCUUACAUUUCAUCGCAACAACCUACUUGUCAGUGAUCUGAAAGUGUUCCUGCCGUUUACUAUCAAUUUGGAUCCAUACUUGAAAAAAGUUAUCAAAGAAGAACAACAAAGUGCAGAAGAAUCCACUGCAGGAUUAAUGAUGUUCCCUCCGAGCAUUACAAAUCCUAUAUCAAAUCAGCAACCAUUGAUGAUGUCUCACAAUACUCCAUGGGCUGCGCAGAAUAAGACGCCAAACUCAGUUAAAAAGGAUGAUCUUAGUACUAAUCUAUAUUUUCGACCCCUUUUGCGCAGUUCGACUAUACAAGGUCCUCCCAGCCAGAUGUACCAGUCUCCGCACUCGCUUAUGGGCUGGGGAGGCAACAAUUGGUUAGGCUUGCAGGAUGUGUCUCUCAUGUCUGCAAUGUCAUCGCCCUCCCCUCUGUAUCAGCAGCGCCUUCCUUCAAUCACACUCACAGCAGAUGUGGCUGACAUGAAACUGUCAGAGUUGUCUGUUGAUGGUGUAUGCCAGAUGUUCUCCAAAAUCCCUGAUAUAAAUUCAUCACAAGUUGCACGAUACACAAGCAUAAUUAAGGAACACAACAUCAAUGGAAGAGUUUUGCUGCAUUGUGAUUUGGAUGAGCUCAAGAAGGUGCUGAAGAUGAGCUUUGGAGAUUGGGAGCUGUUCCGAAUGCUAGCUGUUGCUUUAAGAGAACGGGAGAUGACCUCCUUCAGCCAAGUAGAUGAAACCAAUGCCAACAAAAAUGUACGGUUUUCUGUGCCCAGCAUCCAAGCUACUGGCCCUCCACAGGACCGUGAAAGAGAAAGACGACCCUCUGCUUCGAAGAUGGCUCCUUCUGACAAGGAUGGAAUUGCUCUUCGUGCAAAGCCCAGUAUCAUGGAAAAACAAUAUCAGGUGACGCUUGAGGAGCAGAUGAUCUGUGGCGCGUUGCAAACCUUGAAUGAGGAAGCUUGUGAGGAUGUCUUGGAUGAAUCUAUUGAAACUAAACGAAGACUCAGUGUUGUCAGCAAUGCCCAAGAUCCAGCUGUUGGCUGUACAUAGCCUUCGCGCAUGCUGCUUUUCUGAAGCACUUUGGAGUUUUCCGCACUCUUCUGACCUAUUUUGCCCGCCUGGGACAUCGUGUACGAAGCGUAAGCCAAUGCAGUAGCUUGAUGGAUAGAGAGGAGACCGAGGUAGUGAUGCUUCAGUCCUCACCACUACAUCCAUAUCACUGGCAGGCAGUGGCC
rnacentral:misc_RNA from 1 species